GGCGUAUCCCGGCAGCCACCGCGGCGACUGGGCGGCCGGCGCCAAGCGCCUGGAGCUGUACAUCCUCCGCUCCCGCCCACCCUGCCAGCCCGCCUCUGCAGUCGUGCCUCUGACUGUGUGCACCUGCCAAGCAGGUAGGAAAAAUUUCUGACAGCCUACCCAUCAGACUUACUACAAAAUGAUAAAUAUAAUGUCUUGUUAGACAAGAAGAAAAUUGUCAUUUGAUGUUUGAUGCCUUCAGCCCUUCUAGACAAGAAAUGGAUUAAAAAUGCAAAAAUAAAAGAGAAACAAUAAUUGCACCCAUUUGAGCUGCGGGAAGCUGUACUGGCCUCGGGAACCAAGUAUUCAAAGGAAGAAAGCAGUUGUGAGAAAUCCGCAGAGUGGAGUGGAAAGAACUCACAGAGCAUCUGUCCUAGUACUUACUGUCUCACUGUUACUCCAUGACCUUAGGAAAAUCAUUUCCUUCUCUAGCCUUCAUUUUCUUGAUUUUUAAAUUGCAAUUUAGCAAUUCCACAAACAUUGUGAGGUAUUUUGCCCUGUCAAUUCAGUUACAUAUUCUCUAAGUACCAAAGGCCGAGUUUUCACAAUAUUGGACUGUAAAAGUCUAUCCUUUCUGCAAACCUUUCUCCUAAUCCUUCUCUUCUCAAGCAGUUCCACCUUAAUCUAGGAAUUCAGCAACCUUAAAUUUUCUCUUCCAUUUCUUAUGAAAACCUAUUGGAAAUUAGUAGAGGUGAAUCAUAAACAGCCUAGUGUGUUUCUCCCAAUAAUGUUUGUACUACAUUUUUAUAUGUAAUUGUUUAACAGAAAGUUUUUCAUCCUAUUGAAGGAAUUUCAUAUGUCAAUAAGUAGGUAGAGAAAGGUAUAUUCAGCCCUGGCUGGCGUAACUCCGUGGAUUUAGCGCGGGCUGCGAACCAAAGUGUCGCAGGUUCGAUUCCCAGACAGGGUACAUCCCUGGGUUGCAGGCCAUAACCCCCAGCAACAGUACAUUGAUGUUUCUCUCUCUCUAUCUCCCUCCCUUCCCUCUCUAAAAAUAAACAAAAUAUUUUAAAAAAGGUAUAUUCAGAGGCAAGGCAAAAGGACCUUCUUCAUACACCUAAAUUUAUACCAGAUAUAAGAAGCCUUUGUCCAAGUCUUUCAAAUUCUAGAACAAUGUGGAUUAUGUCUCUAAUAUGGGUCAUUCUUCAAACUUCGCUAAUAGGAACUUCUUUCCUUCCCCCUCACUUGGAGCUACAUUGGAGCAUAUUUUUAAGUUUUUAACAACUUACAGAAAUACCACCCAGUUUCCACAAGCCCUGAAAGAAAUGUAAUAUCAAAGAGCCAUUUCAAUAUGUACAGAGGAGAUCGUUUGCUUAUCUUCUGUUUAUGUAGUGAAAAUUUAUGGAAGGUGUCCUGAUUAGGGAUCACACCCACAACCUUAGCAUAUCAGGACAAUGCUUUAACAAACUGAGUGACCUGGCCGGACUAGAUUAAAAUCUUACUUAAAACCCAUGUUAUAUAAUCGCCUUACUUUAAAAUGGAGAAAAUGAAGACACAAACUUGUCAAAUGUCAACUAGUUAUUACUAGAACACCUGGCCCAGAGCUUACUUCA